rnacentral:rRNA from 1 species
UACGGAGGGUGCAAGCGUUAAUCGGAAUUACUGGGCGUAAAGCGUGCGUAGGUGGUUGAUUAAGUUAUCUGUGAAAUCCCUGGGCUUAACCUGGGCAGGUCAGAUGAUACUGGUUGACUCGAGUAUGGGAGAGGAGAGUGGAAUUCCUGGUGUAGCGGUGGAAUGCGCAGAUAUCAGGAAGAACACCCGUGGCGAAGGCGGCUCUCUGGAACGCAACUGACGCUGAGACGCGAAAGCGUGGGGAGCAAACAGG